CCCAAUUGUUUGUGCAGUUCACGUCUGCAGACAUUUGCUCAUCUCCCGUCAGAACAGGAUCUGCACACGUGUUCACAUUUUCUAUUCCACAUUUCUAUUGUAGCGUACUGUAUGUAUGGAGCAUAAUAUUUUUGUGUAUAUUCUUUAUCAUCGAGGACACGUGAGCAUAGCUCUGUUCUGCCCUGCCCUGCCCCCUUGUGGAGCUCAAAAGAAACCAGAAACAUUAUUUGCCAAUAUCAUAACUGGAGCUGGACAUCUUUGGAGCUGAAGAAUGAGGACAGGUUUUGUAUGCUAACGUACACUCCUUAACAGUUGUACUGGAUGAAAACACAGCAAGAAAACACAUAUGCCAAUAUGUAAUAUUCAUCUAUUUUAUUGCAGUACUGGUAGUUGGUUCAACAACUUGUUUUACUAGAGGACAAAAAACUGAAUAUGCAUAACCCAUAUUUAAUAUCCAUGCAGUGACUGAACAACAACUGCAUUUCCACCCCCAUCUCUAAGGCAUAGUAUCAUGGCUGGUCAUGGCUGUCAGGUCAGUCAGUCACCUAUUGCUGCAGAUGUGCUCAAUAAUGCUUGAGCAUGUGAUACUCCUCAAAGCAUGGUGAAAUACAUAGAGGUGUAUCACAAGCUAGACACAUGUAUUUUGUCAUCUUCCUCUGCUUACUUCUCCUGGUGCCAGACAGGCAGACUUUGCAAUGCCUCUGUGUGUGACUACCUUGAGAAGCAGUUUGAGGGACUUUGCAGGGAAAAUGUCGUGCAGUGAGGCGUAUGGGAUUGUCUACAGCAGGACGACCCCCAGUGGAUGGGCGCCGAGGGGUGUGGUGCUCCUCCAGCAGCUCUCUCAUGAGGUUCUCUCUGUAUUUUUGGUGGUCCACCUUCCCUGUGGCCGACAUGGUUGCUGUAUGGACAGUGGAGAGGACAUGGACGUCUUGCUUGUCAUGCCACUUUACUGCCAGCUGUUGACCGUUCUCCUGGAAUUCCACCUCCCCUCUCUGCAUCUUCCCGC